GACGAACGCUGGCGGCGGGCUUAACACAUGCAAGUCGAACGGGAAGGCCCUGCUUGUUUGGGGUGCUCGAGUGGCGAACGGGUGAGUAACACGUGAAUAACCUGCCCUUGACGUUGGUAUAACUUCAGGAAACUGGUGCUGAUACCGUAUAGGAGCACCUCCGGCAUGGUGGGGGUUGGAAUGUUUCGGAGGUUGGGGAGGGACUCGCGGCUUAUCAGAUUGUUGGUGGGGUAGUGGCUUACCAAGGCAUGGACGGGUAGCGGGCCUGAGAGGGUGACCGGCAAAAUUGGGACUGAGAUACGGGCCAGAGUCGUACGGGAGGCAGCAGUGGGGAAUAUUGCACAAUGGGCGGAAGCCUGAUGCAGCAACGCCGCGCGCGGGAUGACGACCUUCGGGUUGUAAACCGCUUUCGCCUGUGCCGAUGCGUGAGUGACGGUAAUGGGUGAAGAAGCACCGGCUAACUACGUG
rnacentral:rRNA from 1 species